GUGCGGCCGAGCUGCUUUGGUGGAUUGUCUUUAAUGAAUGGGACAAAUUCUUGGGGCCGAACGCACCCCUCCCCUUCCCCCAACACCCAGUUCUGCUUCCUGUUUGCUACUCAAUCGAAUUCUGAAUGGUGAACAACCCUAUCAAUACAGUCGAACACUUCCGAGGGGAGAUUGGUUACCCAAUUUGUGGAUGUGAGCGGCAAAGACAGUAGCUGAGGUUUGAAGCUGAACCACACCAUGAAAGUGAGUCCCUAGCUCAUGCCAGGCAACUGUGUGGUUCGAGUGUUAUGUGUGAACAUUGAUGUGAUGUGAGUGAAAGAUGGAGUCUAGUCCACCCGUCCAACUUCCUGAACACAAAUAAGCACCUCACUUCCACGUUUGCCUUGCCUGUUAGUGUCCAGCUGUACACAACUCAAUUACAACCACCAUGGCUUUAAUUGUGUAUGCGGUGAGUUUGCGAAUAGAAAGUAAAAUAACUUUUUGCAAAGAAAAAUAAACGACAGGGGAUUUUUCCUGGGAGGAAAGCUUUAGUUUACUAUAUGACAUGUUUCUUAAUAGUGCUAAAUUGUUCUGUGUUCUUUAAAUAAACAAUGG
rnacentral:lncRNA from 1 species